rnacentral:rRNA from 1 species
AUGGCCACCAUCGCCGACAUCCCUGGGGCCCGGGCCGUAGCAUCAACGACGGACCCGGCCUUAAUCAUGCGCCACCAAGCGGCGGGCGCGGGGUCACCCCCGCGGUCCUCCUCUACCCCCCUCAGGGAGACUCUCGGCGCCCUGCUUGCGAUGCCAGUCUACCGCUCGAGCACUACCGAUUUCACAUAUGCCCAACGCACCAACCCACGUGCCGUUUACGUCCACAUCUUUCCGGCGUCCCCGCAAACACCCUCCCCUAUCCACGGACUCCAGCCAAGUUGAUAGAGAAGGCUUUCUUCGCUGACGGACGUACCGACCCAGACCCUGUAUGGCUCUCCUCCGUUCCGCUCGUGAAAUAGUGCGCUAAGUCCCGCAGCGAGCGCAACCCUUAUCCUUUGUUGUCAGUCGGUUCGGCAGCCAACUCAAAGGACACUGCCCCUGAUAAAUUCGAGGAAGGUGGGGAUGACGUCAAGUCACCAUGGCCCUUACGAGUAGGGCUACACACGUGCUACAAUGGCGUAUACAAAGAGAAGCGACCUCGCGAGAGCAAGCGGACCUCAUAAAGUACGUCGUAGUCCGGAUUGGAGUCUGCAACUCGGCUCCAUGAAGUCGGAAUCGCUAGUAAUCGUAGAUCAGAAUGCUACGGUGAAUACGUUCCCGGGCCUUGUACACACCGCCCGUCACACCAUGGGAGUGGGUUGCAAAAGAAGUAGGUAGCUUAACCUUCGGGAGGGCGCUUACCACUUUGUGAUUCAUGACUGGGGUGAAGUCGUAACAAGGUAGCCGAAAUCGAAUUCC